AUUCAGGAACUCUCCCUUAGGAUAUAACAUAACCCAGGGUUUAUGCUGGGCCUUAUAAGCUUUCAAAUUUGCCUUUAUUUAGAAGGAAAAAAAAUGUGUCCAGCAAGAUGUCUCAGUGGAUAAAAGAGCUCAUCACAAGCCUGAAGGAGAGAACUAAAUCCCAAAAGUUGUUCUUUGACUUCCUUGUAUGUGUCCACAUGCAUGCGUGCGCGCGUGCAAACACACACACACACACACACACACAGUACAUAAAUGAAUAAAUGUAAUUAAAAUUUGUAAGUCAGAUGUGUAACAUAUGUAUCUGAUACCUGUACUCAGAAGACACACACGAGUGGAUCUGUGAGGUCUGCAUAGCAAACUGUGGGAUAGCCAGGGCUACAUAAUAAGACUAUCUCAGGAAAAAGGAAAGCAGGACAAUAGUCAACAGAUUUAUUUUUAUUUUUAUGUUACUUCCAUAGGCCUCAUGGACUCUCACAGAUGGCUUGGUAAAUUGUAUGUGUACUUGGCUCUCCUUACCUUAGAAGGCUCUUUGACACGUACCCAAGUUAUGGAAGCCCAGUUUUUUAUGACUCUUAGGUAAUAUAAAAUAGCAUCAGCAUAGUAUGACUUAUCAGUCAGAGAAAGAUAAGCAUAAAUUCACAGACAGUAAUAUGUAUUCUCAUGUUUAGGGAAAUUGAGCUAUAAGGCCUGUCUUUACUUUUCGAUUCCAAAUAGAUCUUUAUUGUUUAUCAGUUGGGUAUUUUGUCUUUCUAACCUGGAAUUACAGUCCUCCUGGCGCUGCUUCCACUGAAUGCUAGGGGUACAGGCCUGUGCCACAAUGCCUUGCCACUUGCCAUCUCUGUUAAAUAAUGCUAAUGGCCACCUUGGCUUAAGUGAAACCAUCCCACUUUCCAAGUUAGUAAAGGAUAGCAUCCCAGAGAAAAUAAAACACCUUUGGGCAAACGUCCCAUCUCCAUAGCUUUUCCUCCUGUGUCAACAUGUCAGAAACUCAGACGUAGUGAAAGCCUGAAGUUCACUGAGAAGCCCAGCUGUUUGUUUUGCUGCAUUUUAAAACUGAGCCUGAUGGGGGUGGGUGGGUAUGGGGGACUUUUGGUAUAGCAUUGGGAAUGUAAAUGAGCUAAAUACCU
rnacentral:lncRNA from 1 species